GCGCAAAAUCAAUACGCCGUCGUUUAAUAAUGUCCAUCGUGUAAUGUAAUUGCGCCAGAUCAGCAUUCCGGUGACAGAGAUGAUCGCAGGGGCAAGCCAGAGCCCCGAUUGCAAAUUUGGGGGUUCUAAUUAGGGCCACCAAAAUUGUAGAGGUCAUUCUGAGUAUCGGGCCAAAUUUCAGGGGCCAAAUGGAGAUUUAAUCCGUUAACUUCUAGUGCUUGCUUCUUCCUCCUUCUUCCUCCUAUCCACUCCGAUAAAAAUUCAUCACAACCAAAUAAUCUUGUCACUUUAAUCACACAAAACACUCUCACUGUUGUUUAGCACAACGCACUUUAAUCAUCUUCGUCCCUCCAAAACCCUCUCAAUCCCCUUUCUUCUCUCUCAAUUACCCUCUUCAUUCUUUGUUCUCUCUUUCUUUCCCUCUCUUUUGGAUUUCUCAAAUUCUAUGGUUAGGGAUUUCUCCUUUUUCUUCAAUUUUUUACGACUCUAAGAGUUACCCACAUGGUGCAGACGUGAGGGCACCCUCACGAUUUCUUCUUCAAUGGUGGCCACAACCGCCGUUGCCGCUACCGCCAACCUACUGCUGUUGCUCGCAGUGCCUCUCUCCAUAACUCAAGGAAUGGCAUGCUAUUUCUGAGAACCAUCAUUCGUCGAGAUACCUUGAGGACAAGGUGUUGGUUUGGUGUGUCAACAUCUUUUUCCAAGAACGAUGCUGGAAUAUAAGCGUUGUUCUAAAUCGAAAAAAAUAGAUGAUUCCAUCUUUUUGUUUGUUUUGUUGCUAGGAUUUGGCAAGGUGUUUUAAUGCUAUAGUCCUUUUUUUCUCAUUUGAAAACAGAUGUUGUUUGGCGUAUUUUAUGGUGGACAGUAUGAUCAUUAGUUUAGGCAAGUUGCAACGAAGCAUCUAAGUUCUAAAUACUUGAUAUUUGAUUUCUAGCUCUUAUUUAUAUUUAAUUGUUUAUUAUGUUAUUUGUUAUCGAGGGAACAAGGCCUAUACAUUUCUAAUGUCUGAUAGAAUGUUGUCUCAUAUCAAUGUUGAGUAAAUUUCAGUAACUGCAGAUACUCUGAAGGCUUUGAUUAAGAAUAAGAAAAAGAAGAGCAAGAAGAAAGGGAAUCCAAUUUGAAAGUUGGGAUGAACUAGGAUUUUAUUAUGGAGGAUGGAUUAAAUUGGCUCUAAUUGCAAUCUUGCCAUGUCAGCUUGCUGUUGGACACUCCUGCAUGGCAAAGGAUGAUCAUAUCAGCACUUCGACAACUGAGUCAGCACCGAAAAGAUACCCAGGGACCAUUAUGGUGUCUGAAGCUCAAUCCGAGGGACUAUUAUAAUGAAUUGGAAUCUUGAGGAUUAAAUUAGGUAAUCCUGUGAAUCUCAAAUACCGUUAUGAGGAUUUACUCUCUCAAUCUAAUCACUCUCUUGCGGGUAAAGCAAAGCAGUCACUAACACCAAGCACCAUGGUGUGUGGGUUAGAACAUUUUCUUGAAGGCAAGGGCUCUUGAGCAAAAAGGGACAAGGG